rnacentral:misc_RNA from 1 species
GAUGAAGAACGUAGCGAAAUGCGAUACGUAAUGUGAAUUGCAGAAUUCAGUGAGUCAUCGAAUCUUUGAACGCACAUUGCGCCCUGUGGUAUUCCGCAGGGCAUGCCUGUUCGAGCGUCAUUUCAACCCUCAAGCCCCGCUUGGUGUUGGGCCCCGCCCGCUGUGGCCGGCCCUAAAGACAGUGGCGGCGCCGCCUGGCCCUCAGCGUAGUACAUCUCUCGCUCCAGGGUCCGGUGGCCGCCUGCCAGAACCCCCCAACUCUGUGGUUGACCUCGGAUCAGGUAGGGAUACCCGCUGAACUUAAGCAUAUCAAUAAGCGGAGGA